AUGGCUUCACCGAGAGGUCACCAUCGGCGCGGAAGCAUGGAGGAACCAGUUUUCAUGUCAUCUGAUAUUAUUCAUCUUGAAGAGGAAUCAAAUAGACCUCAAAAGGACAUUUUGCCAGAAUGCAACAAGCAUUUGGAGAAAAUUCGUGAUCUCGUGAAUGAGUCUGCAAAUGAUCAUGGCCUUGCUAUUUAUGCACGCAGAGGAGGAGGAAUAACUUUAGGAAUCGCGAUUGUGUUGGUCGUAUUAGCUUUAUAUUUAAUUGAUGAAGAGGUUUUUGAUAUUGUUGCUGCAGGAGGGGCAGCUGCCACUGUAGUUUCUCUAUUAUGUGCUGCUUUUGGACGAAACAGGGAAACACAUCAGAAGAAGAACUUAAAACGAUCCAUUGAAGAGGAAUUUAAGGGGUUUCAGGAUAAAAUGAACCUUAUUAUUGACAUAUUGGAAAAAAACUGUCAACGCACUGAGGAAAUAUUGAGAGACCCUUCACUAUCAGACCACAUUGCCCAGGCAUUAAGUGAACAUUUUGCCUACUGCUUUGAAAAGAGGCACGUCUUCCAGGAACAUGACAGGAGUAAAGUGGGUGACCAGAUGUCUAAAAUUGUGCAUUUGUCUGGAAACAUUUCAGAAAUGAUCGCCAAGGUUAGUUCUGUGCCUGAUAUCCUCAAAGAGAUUAUCGAAGACAACAAGAGGCAACAUGGAAAACCUGCAAAACCCAGACAAGAACUAAUAAUUAAAAGAGAGUUUAAGGAGAAAGUAGAUAAAUUCAUUAAUGAUAUGCAGAAAGGAAUAUGUAUGAUAAAAAAUAGAGUGAAAGAUAUCAACCAAUACAAUAGACAGUAUAUCAGAUAUUUUGAGUUGAACCUGACAAAAUGAAAAAGUAUGAACUGCUGAGACAGAACUUGUUCUUGGAUCCACCUGACAGAGAACAACACAAACAGUGACCGAAUAUUACAUUGCAGUGUUGAAUAAUUUCAGUGUUUCAUUGUCCUACAACAAUUAAUGUUAACAUUCUGAUCAUUUUUUCCCCAGUUUUCACACAAAACCUUCCCUCUAUGCACGCAUUCAUUCAAAAUUUUGACAAAGGAUUUGAGCCAAAUUUUUAUUCAUACUAAUGCA
rnacentral:lncRNA from 1 species